CUUUAUAGAGAUUAGUGCACUGUUGGUAACAGCAAGUGUCAGGAAACAUGAAAAAAAUAUGAUUUAAUUAUUGAAACUGUUUGGAUAAAAAUGAAAAGUUUCUUGUACAAUGUCAUAAUUGAAUCCAUUGAUGUCCAUAAAUGUAAUUAAGAAUUUUUGAGUUUUGAAGUCUUUUUCACUUUUACGAGAUUUUAGAAGAAUUAUUAUUUCUCAUUAUUUUUACAAGUCUUGCUGGUCUGAUGCCAAAAAUUGAAUUGUAUACUGUAGAAUCAUGGAUGGCUCUGCUGGAUUCUGACUCAUGCCCUAAAUUAAGAAAUGGCUCUGAAUGUUGUCUCAAGGGAAGCAUGGAUGAACAUGGCCAGGGAGAGAGUAAAAGGAUGAAAGAACAAGGUGCCUACCAUGGAGGAUGCAAAAGAAAUUUUUCCCCAAGGACUGUAGUCCCAGUGUCAAAGAAUGAAGAAGAAAGAAAAUGCAAAAACAAACUAUAUGAAGCUGAAUAAACUCAGUGUCGUGGCAAAUGGCAAAUGCCAUGUUCUUUCCUUUUUCCUUUUUUUUUUUUUUUUUUUUUUUGAGACAGAGUCUUGCUCUGUAGCCCAGGCUGGAGUGGAGUGGGGUGAUCACGGCUCAUUGAAGCCUGGAACUCAUGGAUUCAAGUGAUCCUCCAGUCUCAGCCUCCGGAGUAGCUGGGAGUACAGGCACACACCACCAUGCCUGGCUAAUUUUAUAUUUCGUAGAAACAGUUUCACUAUGUUGCACAGACAGUGCAUAUGUUCUUUUCAUAUGUCCUUUCUUAUUGAACACAUAAACCAAGUACAAAUUUACCAGAUGUCAUAGACAUGUAAAUGUGAUUUCACUUUAACUAUGAGCCAUUGAUUCCAGGGUAUUGUGUUUUUUAGGAUUUAGGUUUCACAUUCUGAUUUUAUCUUCAGGAAUUAAUUGAUUUAUACACUAUAUCACAAAAUACAUAGAACCUAUGGUCAAAUAUCAGAAUUGAUAUUCUCUGAACUGAGUUACAUUGGAGAAAAUCUCAGAGCUUUACGUAAUGGCUCUGUUGCAAAUUUACAGUCUUAAAGCUCAGCAGAGCACUUUAGACUGCUUAUAAAUUAUGGAGAGUUGGGAAGAAUAUUUGAAAUCUGGACUAUCCUAGAAUAGCUGGGAAGAAGUUUAAGGUUCAAUGUAGGGUGGGAGGAAGAGACAGCUGUCAAAAAUUCUAGCUUGGGUAACUGAGACAGAAGAUGCCAGAAGAUGAGGUAUUUUUAGAGGAAGGAUGAUGAGUCAAUUUGGGACACACUGGAUAGGAAGCACUUGUUGGACAUCUAGAUAGAGAUGACCAGUUGAGAGUUAUAUAAAAUGUGUAACUCAGAGAAGUGGUCUGGGCAGCCCUCAGAAAAUGAACUUGACUUAAGCCAUUUGAGGAAGAAAAUGAACACAGUUUAACAGUUGCAUGGAGCAGGGCUCCCCUGUGGGCACAAAAUUAGAAUGAAAAUCAUAUGUAAUUAUUCCCUUAGCCUAGCCUACCAUCGGAGCCACUGACUGCGGUGUGAGGUCUCUUUUAGUCUGGAUUCUGAGUGCAUAGUGGAACUUCAGAGGAGAGCAGUCUGCUCAAUUCCUCUUUGGGCAGGAGAGGGCACAGAGUUAGCAGUGACCUGCAACCAAAGGAUAGUUUCCUCACUGUAAGGAAAAUUCUGGACAAUAAUAUUAAAUGAUUGCUCACAGAAAGAUAGAUUUAAGUGCUCUGAAAACAAUAACAGCAAUGCUUUGGCUUGAAAAAAGGUAAACUCUUCCAAAAUUAGAGAGAUGUUUUAUAUAGACCAAAAAAGGUAGUGAGAGAAGCUGUCACACUGGCUGAUAGUAAUAACUGACAUUGGGCAUUGCUAGGUCUGGGAACUAUGCUGAGUGCUUUAUAUAUAUUAACUCAUUUAAUUCUCACUAAACCCCGUGGAGUAGGUACUGUUAUCAUUUUAUAGUAUGAGGAAACUGACACCCAGAGAUUUUAAAUAUUUUACCCAGGGUUAAACAACUAGUAAGGGGCAGAGCAAAGACUUGAAUUUAGGCAAUCUGGGUUCAGAGAUCAUGACCUUGUAAUACACUUCCUGUGUUAAAUCAAAACAACCCACUUUGGUUUCAACAUACCACAUGCAAGGUUCAUACCAGUACAAUUUGCGCCAUAAAUAGCGCAAAUGCUAUGAAAAGGCUGAUAGAUAAUAGGAAGCUUUAAUAUCUAUACUCAUUUAAUCCAGAGUUUUACUCCCCCUCACCAUGGAGAAACUAUGCAGCGCUAUGAAAGAAUGCUCAACAGUGUUUUGUUUUGUGUUUUUUUUUUUUCCAACUAUCUCCUCUGCAGAACUCUGCUAAUGACAGAAUUUGCAUACUAAUGAUAAUUGCAACCAAGAAAGCUGUAUUCUCUUUCUACUCGAGGCAAUUGAAUAAAGAAGUGCUGUGAGGCAAUUAUUGCAGUUAGUUAUAGAAAAUUCUCUGAAAAACAAGACCAAAACAUAUAUACUCAAAUUCAGUAUGAUUGCACUUAUCAAAAUUAUUUGCUCCUUUUAAAUCAUCAUAAUAGAAUUAUUGCUCUGGGUUCUUUGACUGUAUUAACCCAGUCCUCCCAAUGGCUCUAUUAUUUAGGUUUACAUUUUUCCAUUUUAUGGAUGAGAAAAAAGAGAAGUUUAACUACGUGCCCAAUAAUUCAGGUAUAAACUUUAAAAAGGUUAUUAAGAGAUCAUUUAGAUCAUAUUUCUAUUCUCUUAUUUUUAUUCUAUCUUUUGAUUAUUAUAAAACUAAUUAUAAAUGCUGCUAGACAUACUUUGCUGUUAUAAUUUUACUACAUAUAAUGGAACACUUUUACUCUACAAUUUCAGUGCCCUUUUACUUGAUUAUGGCAAAAUUCUUUGCUAAUGACACCUGAUUUUCUAAUUAUUCUAAUGACACCUUAACAUGCAUGACUGUGUUGUUGGGUUACUUUUUCCAUGGGAGUUUCACUAAUUCCAUUUACUUGCCAGUUGGUGUACUUCAACACUGUUAAUUUAUAUUAGCAUUAGAAACCCAUUGAGAACACAAGUCAAUACUCAAUUCAAAACAAGGUGACUUUAAUUUAAUUUCUUUAGGUAUAAGAAAUCCUGAAAUCUGAACCACGAUAAAAAACUGCAGGAUUGGAAACCUAGAUUCAGGACAAGACAACCAAAAUCAUAAAGACUCCUUUACAACUUCAUAGUUUGUGCAGUCUUAGCAAAUAAUAUUAUUUUCAUGAUCGGAAAGUGUAUUUAAACUUUAAUGUAAGGUUUUAUUUUAUUUUGUCUAUUUUUUAUUGGCCUUACAGACAAGAUAAUUUUAUUCUUUUCUAGUUGCUUUAAUGUCUUUCUUGUUUGAUAUUUUCUGUUUUUUUGUUCAGUUAUCAUGAUUGUUAUUUAGAAACAGACUUUUGAAGUGUGAGUCUUAAAGGUGACUAAGUUCAGAGCAUAGCCAGUCCUCGUAUUUAUUGGUAAUUGACUUUUUUUUUUUUUUUUCCUGAUAGGGUCUUACCUGUUGCCCAGGCUACAGUGCAAUAGUGAGAUCACAGCUCACUGCUGCCCCAAACACUGGGCUCAAGGUGUCCUUCUCUCUCAGCCUCCUGAGUAGGUGGAACUAUAGGCACGUUCCAUCACACCCUGCUAAUUUUCCUUUUUUCUUUUUUUAGAUAUGGAGUCUCACUAUGCUGGCCCGACUGGUCUCAAACUUCUGGGCUCAAGCAAUCCUCCCAUCUGCCUCAAUUUCCCAAAAUGCUGGAAUUACAGGCGUAAGUCAUCACACCUGGCCAGUAAUUGACUCUGAAAGUAAUACACAAAGAUUGGAAAGUGAUCUAAGUUCUGAAUUCAAAUAUUAACACAUGCAUUUUGCUAUUUCUUUGUUUUUUAAUUGCAGUAAGAACAAAUAACAUGAGAUCUGUCUUCUUAUCAAAUUUGUAAGUAUAUACUAGAGUAAUAUUAACUACAGGUGCAAUGUUGUACAGCAUUUGUUCUACAUGAUGUUCUACAGGUGUCUGUAGAACUUAUUCUUCUUACCUAACUCAAACUAUGCCUGCUAAAUGACAAAUACCCAUUUUCCUCUCAUCCAGCCUCCAGCAACCACUAUCCUACUUUCUGUUUCUGCCACUUUUACUAAAUUAAACUCCAUGUAUAAGUGGAAUCACAUAAUAUUUGUCCUUCUGUGACUAGCUUACUUUACUUAGCAUAAUGUCCUCAAUGUUCAUUCAUGCUUUCUUAUAUAGCAGGAUUUCUUUGUUUAUUAUGGUUAGAUUAUAUUCCAUUACAUGUUUAUAACACAUUUUCUUUAUCCAUUCAUCUCUCAAUGGAAAUUUUGGUCAUUUCCACAUUAUGGCUAUUGUGAAUAAUCAUUCAAAAGAACAGAAUAGGGAGCCAAGAAGGAAACUCAUGC
rnacentral:lncRNA from 1 species